rnacentral:siRNA from 1 species
AAAGGUGACUCCGACGACGGGAU